CCUACGGGGGGCAGCAGUGAGGAAUAUUGGUCAAUGGGCGAGAGCCUGAACCAGCCAAGUCGCGUGAAGGAUGACGGCCCUACGGGUUGUAAACUUCUUUUGUCAGGGAGCAAUUGGGUCCACGCGUGGGCUUAGCGAGAGUACCUGAAGAAAAAGCAUCGGCUAACUCCGUGCCAGCAGCCGCGGUAAUACGGAGGAUGCGAGCGUUAUCCGGAUUUAUUGGGUUUAAAGGGUGCGUUGGCGGAAUAUCAAGUCAGCGGUAAACAUUCGGGGCUCAACCCCGGCCUGCCGUCGGAACUGGGUGCCUUGAGUGGGCGAGAAGUAUGCGGAAUGCGUGGUGUAGCGGUGAAAUGCAUAGAUAUCACGCAGAACCCCGAUUGCGAAGGCAGCAUACCGGCGCCCUACUGACGCUGAGGCACGAAAGUGCGGGUAUCGAACAGGAUUAGAUACCCCUGUAGUC
rnacentral:rRNA from 1 species